rnacentral:rRNA from 1 species
CCUACGGGAGGCAGCAGUGAGGAAUAUUGGUCAAUGGGCGCGAGCCUGAACCAGCCAAGUAGCGUGAAGGAUGACUGCCCUACGGGUUGUAAACUUCUUUUAUAAAGGAAUAAAGUGAGGCACGUGUGCCUUUUUGUAUGUACUUUAUGAAUAAGGAUCGGCUAACUCCGUGCCAGCAGCCGCGGUAAUAUGGAGGAUCUGAGCGUUAUCCGGAUUUAUUGGGUUUAAAGGGAGCGUAGAUGGGUUGUUAAGUCAGUUGUGAAAGUUUGCGGCUCAACCGUAAAAUUGCAGUUGAUACUGGCAGCCUUGAGUGCAGUUGAGGUAGGCGGAAUUCGUGGUGUAGCGGUGAAAUGCUUAGAUAUCACGAAGAACUCCGAUUGCGAAGGCAGCUUACUGGACUGCCACUGACGUUGAUGCUCGAAAGUGUGGGUAUCAAACAGGAUUAGAUACCCUGGUAGUC